rnacentral:rRNA from 1 species
GACAGCAGCCGCCGCGGGAAUACGAAGGGGGCUAGCGUUGCUCGGAAUUACUGGGCGUAAAGGGAGCGUAGGCGGAUCGUUUAGUCAGGGGUGAAAUCCCGGGGCUCAACCUCGGAACUGCCUUUGAUACUGGCGAUCUUGAGUAUGGGAGAGGUGUGUGGAACUCCGAGUGUAGAGGUGAGAUUCGUAGAUAUUCGGAGGAACACCAGUGGCGAAGGCGACACACUGGCCCAUUACUGACGCUGAGGCUCGAAAGCGUGGGGAGCAAACAGGAUUAGAUACCCCCGUAGUCCCUGUCUCUUAUAC